rnacentral:snRNA from 1 species
GUGGUACUCACUUUGGCAACACAUAUUUUAAAAUUAGAAUGAUACAGAGAAGAUUAGCAUAGCCCCUGUGCAAGGACAACACACAGAUUCAUGAAGAAUUCUAAAUUUUU